CCUCCUUCUCUCCUCUCCCUCACUCGGGCCUCAGCCCGCAGCUCUGUGUCGUCGCCGCCGCACUCCUCAUGCUCCUCUCCCUCGCCGUCCCCCCCUCCUGCAUCUCCUCCUCCACCUCGCCCUUCCCGCUCUCCGCCUCCUCCCGCUCCUCCACCUCCUCUUUCAAUUCCAUCGCUGUCCUCGCGGACGAGGAUGCCGCCGAUGCCACCAUGACCGCUGUGCUCGACAUCCGGCUCAACUCAAGUCUCCGCACUCCCAACCUCGUCCCGCCUACCCAUUCUCUCGCUACGUCCACGCACUCACCUACCCAGAGAAGCCCCCUCCGGCCACUUCCCACCUCGUCGGAGACAAUCACCUGCCCCGGCACUCCUUUAGCCCCCCAAAGGCGAAGCUGACGGGGUUAAUGGUAGUGGAGGCCGCGGUGGAGAAGAGCGUCGCCGGCGCCGCUGCUGCUAUUAGAGGAGGAGUAGCCCCGGAGAGCGGCGGGUUGAGGCGGUCCCGGUUCCGGCGGAUCUGCUCUGCUGUGGCCGCGCCAAGGGCCGCAAGACGAGCAACCAGGACGCCGCAAUCGAGCUGGGCAAGGAACUGGUUUCAGGUAAUGAAUCCAGUGGCAUUUUGUCAAAUGGGGAAUGCUGGUGGGCUUUAAACAAUGGGAGAAAAUGGAUCUCUGGGCAGGAUCGUACACAAUGACCUUUAACCAGCGUUUCUUUUGAGUAAAGUAUGUUGCCGGUGCAUCAAUGCAUCUAUGUUAGGCUUGAUUUGACGGUUAUGUAACUGGUUUGUGGUGAAGUUAUUAAAUUUGGUCACAUUUUAAUAUGGAAGGAGCGACAAAUUUAGAAUGUA